rnacentral:rRNA from 1 species
AACGGGUGAGUAACACGUGAGUAACCUGCCCCCUUCUUUGGGAUAACGCCCGGAAACGGGUGCUAAUACUGGAUAUUCACUGAUCUUCGCAUGGGGGUUGGUGGAAAGGUUUGUUCUGGUGGGGGAUGGGCUCGCGGCCUAUCAGCUUGUUGGUGGGGUGAUGGCCUACCAAGGCUUUGACGGGUAGCCGGCCUGAGAGGGUGACCGGUCACAUUGGGACUGAGAUACGGCCCAGACUCCUACGGGAGGCAGCAGUGGGGAAUAUUGCACAAUGGGCGAAAGCCUGAUGCAGCGACGCCGCGUGAGGGAUGGAGGCCUUCGGGUUGUAAACCUCUUUCGCUCAUGGUCAAGCCGCAACUGUGGGUUGUGGUGAGGGUAGUGGGUAAAGAAGCGCCGGCUAACUACGUGCCAGCAGCCGCGGUAAUACGUAGGGCGCGAGCGUUGUCCGGAAUUAUUGGGCGUAAAGGGCUUGUAGGCGGUUGGUCGCGUCUGCCGUGAAAUCCUCUGGCUUAACUGGGGGCGUGCGGUGGGUACGGGCUGACUUGAGUGCGGUAGGGGAGACUGGAACUCCUGGUGUAGCGGUGGAAUGCGCAGAUAUCAGGAAGAACACC